AGAGUGGGGGUUUGAGUCAAGAAUGACUUGCCGGAUUUACGUCAAAGGUAAUAGGUGAUUAGCCGGCUUUCAUUUAAUAUUACCCGGCUUUCAUUUAAUCUUUCGGCAAGUUGUUCUUGAUUCACCUUUGCUCUCU
rfam:Gossypium raimondii Chr09_contig_11, whole genome shotgun sequence.